rnacentral:rRNA from 1 species
UGGCUAACUCCGUGCCAGCAGCCGCGGUAAUACGGAGGGGGCUAGCGUUAUUCGGAAUUAUUGGGCGUAAAGGGCGCGUAGGCGGGUUAAUAAGUUAAAAGUGAAAUCCCGAGGCUUAACCUUGGAAUUGCUUUUAAAACUAUUAAUCUAGAGAUUGAAAGAGGAUAGAGGAAUUCCUAAUGUAGAGGUGAAAUUCGUAAAUAUUAGGAGGAACACCAGUGGCGAAGGCGUCUAUCUGGUUCAAAUCUGAC